rnacentral:rRNA from 1 species
UGAGUAGGCGGUAAUAUGUGUCAGAUGUAAAAGGCUAUGGCUUAACCAUAGUUGGCAUUUGAAACUGUAUUACUUGAGUGCAGGAGAGGUAAGUGGAAUUCCUAGUGUAGCGGUGAAAUACGUAGAUAUUAGGAGGAACACCAGUGGCGAAGGCGACUUACUGGACUGUAACUGACGCUGAGUCACGAAAGCGUGGGUAGCAAACA